UACGUAGGGGGCAAGCGUUGUCCGGAUUUAUUGGGCGUAAAGCGCGUGUAGGCGGCUUUGCAAGUCGGGUGUGAAAGCCCUCAGCUCAACUGAGGAAGUGCGCCCGAAACUGCAGAGCUUGAGUGCCGGAGAGGGUGGCGGAAUUCCCCAAGUAGAGGUGAAAUUCGUAGAUAUGGGGAGGAACACCGGUGGCGAAGGCGGCCACCUGGACGGUAACUGACGCUGAGACGCGAAAGCGUGGGAGCAAACAGG
rnacentral:rRNA from 1 species